UACGGAGGGAGCUAGCGUUGUUCGGAAUUACUGGGCGUAAAGCGCACGUAGGCGGCUUUGUAAGUUAGAGGUGAAAGCCCGGGGCUCAACCCCGGGAGGCGGGCGGAUACUGUCGGGCUAGAGUCCGGAAGAGGCAAGUGGAAUUCCUGGUGUAGCGGUGAAAUGCGCAGAUAUCAGGAGGAAUACCGGUGGCGAAGGCGGCCUUCUGGACGAUGACUGACGCUGAGACGCGAAAGCGUGGGGAGCAAACAGG
rnacentral:rRNA from 1 species